CAGCCGUGGAGCAAGGCGGCCAAGCUGUGUGGGAGCUCAAGGUCCGCAGCCGGCACACGCAUGGCAGGGGCAGCACAAUGGAGCGCCCGAGGCGACCCAGUUCGCAUCUUCCGGGAGCGCUGCCACAAGAUUCAUGAUCGCCGCCGCUAGUUGCAGUGCGCCAGGGAACUAUUGCUGUCGAUGCUUCCAUAAAUCUGGUGUUAUCCGUCUCUAGUCUCGUGAUCCGGGUGGCCAUUCUUGUGCUGGUUGUGGUCGAUGUUGUCAUGCGUGUGCUGGAUUAGGUGACAGUAGCGAUCUGGAUUAUUAUGUAGGCACUCAAGUGAGCUCGCGUUCCAGCAGAUAGGGCUCAAAACAGAGCUCCUCCAUCCCUGGUGCGUCCACAGGCUGUCAUCGCUGAUGGAUGAUGAGGGUGAGAAUCAAGAGUUUCAUGCGGGGGGCAGUCCGAAAAUCAAGAAAGCCGCUGUGCUGGGCAGCCGGUGGUGGUUUGUCAGAGAUUGAGCCGGCAAUCACGUCUCGGCUAUCAGUGAAGCGUGUGGUCGAGGUUGUGCAAAAGUUUGAUGAGUAUAAGAGAUGGCCUGUAUCAGAGAUGGGUUGGGUGGAAUAUUGAAGAUGCCGGUGCUCGUCAAAUUGGACCUGCGAAUGAGCCUCUGGGUUAUGAGGAAGGUGAAGGUUAGGCCUCGCGUAAUAGCUAUUGAUGAUGACAGGAAUGUUUUCUUUACUGCGGAGGAUUCCCAUAAGAUAUUCGGGGUCCCGUGCGGCAACCAAGAUGUUCGUGUCAGGGAUACAAACAUUGCUCCUUCGGCGUUCAAGUUCAUAAAGCAGGCAAUUGGGAUGGACAACUCAGCAUCGAACUACCUUCAUCAGCAAAGACAUUUAUGAGGAAUCUAGUAAGAUCAAGAAGGGUUGUUUUCAGAUUGCGCUUGUGAUUUUCGUCAUGGGUUACAUGCUAGCACUGUGCACAGAGCAUGACUUCAUGAUGAUUGAUUUCGGGGGUGUCGUGACUAAUGCGGAAAUCGUAACUCAAUUCAAUUGGUGUGAGUAUGCUAUUCUAAAUUUGAUGGUAGCGGUCAUGAAAAAUUGAAAAUGCAGAGUGAUUUUCAGAACAAUGUACCAACGAUUCAUCUAUCUGGAUGCCACCUUUUCUUCCAGAUUCUCUUGACGGACAACAUUGAUCUUGGGAUUUUCAAUACAAUCCACUCAGUAUUACCUUGCGUGCAGUGCUUCGAACAGAAAACACUUCGGCAAAUGAUCACAAUGGCGUAUAGUACGAAGCAGGGCAUGCCGAGUUAUGUGCCAGCAGCGGUAAAGGCGGUCAUGCGUUAUGUGGCAGCGUACACUUGUUCAGGUCACACCAAAACUCGAGAUUGUUGUGUGUGCUGUAAGCACCGACUUGAAUUAUACUCCCUCCGUUCCAAAUUACUCGUCAUGGUUUUAGUUCAAGAACUAAAACCACGACGAGUAAUUUGGAACGGAGGGUGAACUAAAACCACGACGAGUAAUUUGGAACGGAUGGAGUAGGUACGACCUCCAGAUUCACUGUGCUAUUACUUGGUAUCCGUGAACAAGAUAGUCAACACACUGAUGGUGAUGUAAUGGCAUCUUCAUCCAAGCCAGUAUCUUCAAGUGCACCUGCGACAGCGUGCGAGCAUACACCGGAUUUGCAUGUCAAUACGAGGGUGCCACCGUCAGGCUCGCUGGGGGACCCCAUGUCCGCACAUUGUUCGAUAGGCCGAGUUUCGCCAAUCAUCUUCGCCAUGCUUGCGAGGGCGAUCCGGUUCUCCAAGAAUUCAGCUUGAUGUCGAAGCAGUAGAAUGCAAAGUGCACGCUCAGCAUGUCGCUGCUCCGCAAGAGGAUGCAGUCUGGCAUGCUUUGUUUUGCUGACAAAAUUGUAUCUUUGGUCAGAGAUCGCUGUAGAUGCUGUGUCAACCGCGGCUUGACAAAGUGCAUUACAAUAGCUGAUUGUGACAACCGAUAUGCAGGAAUAUAAAUUGUAAUAGUCAUAUGCUUCUCCUAGUGAAUCAAAGUUGUCUUCGACUUGAGGAAUUACCACAGUAUCAGUCUUCUUCUCUGCAUAACAUCUCACUGUUUUCUCCAACACACUUAUUCUGCCAGCAAAGGUUGGCCGUUCAAGAGAUGCAUGCCCAACAUGGACCCUAUGAAAUUCAGAAACGAAUGAGUAUCACAUAAGUAGAAGGGUUUUGCUUAGGUAAAUAUAA